rnacentral:rRNA from 1 species
UACAUGGGGUGCAAACGUUGCUCGGAAUUAUUGGGCGUAAAGCGCGCGUAGGCGGUUACUUAAGUCGGAUGUGAAAGCCCUCGGCUUAACUGAGGAAGUGCACCCGAAACUGAGUAGCUAGAGUACGAAAGAGGGUCGCGGAAUUCCCGGUGUAGAGGUGAAAUUCGUAGAUAUCGGGAGGAACACCGGUGGCGAAGGCGGCGACCUGGGUCGAGACUGACGCUGAGGCGCGGAAAGCGUGGGGAGCAAACAGG